rnacentral:rRNA from 1 species
AACCUGGUUGAUCCUGCCAGUAGUCAUAUGCUUGUCUCAAGGAUUAAGCCAUGCAUGUGUUAGUAUAAGUACUGUACAGCGAAACUGCGAAUGGCUCAUUAAAUCAGUUAUAGUUUACUUGAUAAUCGAAAGUUACAUGGAUAACCGUGACAAAUUACAGCUAAUACAUGCAGUCAGACCUUGUCCGAGGUCGUAAUUAUUAGUAUUAAACCAAUUCCUUCGGGAGUGUGAUGAAUCAUAGUAAUCGAACGAAUCGUAGGGAUCUACGAUAAAUCAUUCAAGUUUCUGCCCUAUCAGCUUUGGAUGGUAGUGUAUUGGACUACCAUGGCAGUCACGGGUAACGGAGAAUUAGGGUUCGAUUCCGGAGAGGGAGCCUGAGAAACGGCUACCACAUCUACGGAAGGCAGCAGGCGCGAAAAUUGCCCAAUCCCGACACGGGGAGGCAGUGACAAGAAAUAACAACCCUCGACUAUGUCGAGAAGUGUAAUGAGGAUAAUUUACAAACCUUACCAAAAGCAAUUGGAGGGCAAGUCUGGUGCCAGCAGCCGCGGUAAUUCCAGCUCCAAUAGCGUAUAU